rnacentral:rRNA from 1 species
AGUGAACGCUGGCGGUAGGCCUAACACAUGCAAGUCGAACGGCAGCACAGUAAGAGCUUGCUCUUACGGGUGGCGAGUGGCGGACGGGUGAGGAAUACAUCGGAAUCUACUUUUUCGUGGGGGAUAACGUAGGGAAACUUACGCUAAUACCGCAUACGACCUACGGGUGAAAGCAGGGGAUCUUUGGACCUUGCGCGAUUGAAUGAGCCGAUGUCGGAUUAGCUAGUUGGCGGGGUAAAGGCCCACCAAGGCGACGAUCCGUUGCUGGUCUGAGAGGAUGAUGCGCCACACUGGAACUGAGACACGGUCCAGACUCCUACGGGAGGCAGCAGUGGGGAAUAUUGGACAAUGGGCGCAAGCCUGAUCCAGCCAUACCGCGUGGGUGAAGAAGGCCUUCGGGUUGUAAAGCCCUUUUGUUGGGAAAGAAAAGCAGCAGGUUAAUACCCCGCUGUUCUGACGGUACCCAAAGAAUAAGCACCGGCUAACUUCGUG